GCCGACGUAGCUCAAUCGGCAGAGCUCUUGUCUUGUAAACAAGUGGUUAUCGGUUCGAGUCCGAUCGUCGGCU
rnacentral:tRNA from 6 species